ensembl:snoRNA small nucleolar RNA SNORD19
GAGGUAAGAUGAAAAGAAAAUACAAUCUAAACCUUUCUAAAGACAGUCAGAUCCCCUCAGCAAUACA